GUCAGGGCCCAAACCCACAUCUCCCUGACAUCUGCGCCCAGGGUCCUCCCUCUGGGCCCCCUUGCCUUGACAUCCUAUGAUUUAAGGACUUUGUGGAUUUCUGAAAACGUUUUCAUCUAUUGUUAUAUUUGCCCCUCCAAGGAACCUUCUCAUAAGCUCAUUCUGAUGAAGCAAGCUGCCACGCUGUGAGCUGCACUAUGGAAAGGCCCAUGCUGCAUGGCACUGAGGAGGCUCCAGCCAGCAGCCGAUGAGGAGCUGGAUCCUGCCAGCCGCCACGUGAGUGAGCUGGGAAGCAGAUCCAACCCCAUAUCAGCACUGAGAUGGUCACAGCCCCACGGACAGCCUGCUUGCAGCCUUGUGAGGGACCUUGAGCCUGAGGACCCAGCUAAGCCACACCCAGCUUCUCAACCCAGAGAAACAGUGAGAUGAUAAACUGAGCUGGCUUUUAAGCCACUAAGUUUUGGGGUAAUUUGUGACACCGUAAUGGAUAAUUAGUACAGCCAGUAACAUAGGCAGAUAUGAGACAGUGCAAAAUAUUUUAGAUUUUAGUGGUUAUCCUUUGGGUUUUAGAGUUCUCCAGGUAGGUUCUCAACCUGGUACCCACAUGUAAUCCAUCUGAGCUUCUGGUUCUGAACCUUCCUGAUGCGUAAAAUCUAUGUAUCAUCUGAAGUUGGAUGAAAACCGAUGUUGCUUUAUUAACAUCGAGGUGGUAGGUGGGCAAUGGGAGGUUGAAAACGUCGGGGACUAACCUCAACUGACAACCUAUUGGACUCUGGCCCUUGCAGGAUAUUUUGCUGAGCGUUCAAGUAUCUCACUGAUCCUUAAGGGUAUCCAUGAAUCCUGAGAUGUGCAGUUAAGUAACUCACCCAGGAAUAGCCAGCCAGCCAGAGGUGUGGCCAGGACCUUCCUGCAGCUCUGCCUCUGAGACCACCUGUAUGCCACAGGGUUCUGACCUUACUCUCACCAGUGGCCCUUUCCAGAAACAGCUGGUCCACUGAGUGAGGACUGACGGUGGAGAAGGCAGAAAACCUGAGAUACUUUAUUGUUCCUGGGGAAAUAUGCCCAGGAAACCUUUCCAGGGAAGUUGAAGAAGCUGCAUGUUGGCUAUGGCAGAGGUGACAUUCUGCCAUUGCUCUCUACUAACAGAACCCCUAUUAUUACUGGGAGCGUCUACCUGCCCCAUAAAUUUCCCAGCCCCUCUUGCCAUAGAGGGUACCCAAUAAGAUGUAAGUUGAAGUCAUUGGGAGAAGCUUCCGGUAAAGAUUUUUUAAAGUGCUGACUCAUCUGAGAGGUGCCUCCUCUUGCACUGCUUGCCCCUUCUUGGUGCCAGGAAUGUGGACAUAAUGGCUGGAGCUGCAGUAGCGUUUCAUGACCAUGCAGUGACCUUGACAGAGGAAGCCACUCUCUAAGGGUAGCAGAGCACAAAGAUAGAGCCUUGUCUUCUUGGAAGGGAUGACUGAGGAGCCAUCAUUCUAGCCUUUGACUUUUUGCAUCAGGAUUUAUUUUAUAUGAGAG
rnacentral:lncRNA from 1 species